rnacentral:rRNA from 1 species
CCUACGGGAGGCAGCAGUAGGGAAUAUUGCUCAAUGGGGGAAACCCUGAAGCAGCAACGCCGCGUGGAGGAUGAAGGUUUUAGGAUUGUAAACUCCUUUUGUUAGAGAAGAUAAUGACGGUAUCUAACGAAUAAGCACCGGCUAACUCCGUGCCAGCCGCCGCGGUAAUACGGAGGGUGCAAGCGUUACUCGGAAUCACUGGGCGUAAAGCGUGCGCAGGCGGGAUAGUAAGUCAGAUGUGAAAUCCUAUGGCUUAACUACAGAACUGCAUUUGAAACUGUUAGUCUAGAGUGUGGGAGAGGUAGGUGGAAUUCUUGGUGUAGGGGUAAAAUCCGUAGAGAUCAAGAGGAAUACUCAUUGCGAAGGCGACCUGCUAGAACAUAACUGACGCUGAUGCGCGAAAGCGUGGGGAGCAAACAGGAUUAGAUACCCCUGUAGUC